rnacentral:rRNA from 1 species
AUGAAUCGGUGGGUAGGUAACGUGGAGGCGUUCGGCCUGCUCGCCGGCGAUGUGUGGGCGCCGGAGCACCCGACCUACCUGUACAACACCCUGUUCGACAUGGCGGCGCCGUACCCAUACAUGGACCAAGACGCCGUCGAACUUGAAGCGGAGAACGACGCCGGCGGCGAUGACCAGAGCCACAUCAUCGACCUGAUCGAGAACUUCCUGGACGAAGUGGACCGCGACGACGAAGCCGCCAUCGCGAAGGAGGAUUCCGCGGGCCAAGGUAAUGGCCCAACCAUCGACCAUGGCGUACUUUCGGAGCUGCCGGAGCGAGAUGUCGCGGCGGCUGGCGGCGCUUCCACUGUAGGAGAGACGCUGGCGGCUCCGGUGGCGGCCUCGCAGUCAGAAUCUGGUGCCCCCGUGGCGGGUGGCGCAACGCAGGGUCGGUCCGGCUUGCCAUGGCAACGCCGGGGAAGGCGCGGGAGGAGGCAUCCGAAGAAGGCACCUUCCGUCUCUUUGGCCGGGACCGGGGCCGGGGAGUCCUGUUCGACGCCCGUGCUCAUACGGCGAGCGCAGAUGGGUGCAGAGGUUUUUCCGGCGACCACUGCAGAAGUAGCAGCGGCCGCGCCACCCGGGUCGACGGCCAGGAGGGCCAAGGAGCGGAAGGCCGAAACAGAAACCUUGGGUGAUUCCGGCGAGUCGCGCCGUCAGCAACUCGGGCGGCUCACUUGA